rnacentral:rRNA from 1 species
UAGGGAAUCUUCCACAAUGGACGCAAGUCUGAUGGAGCAACGCCGCGUGAGUGAAGAAGGCUUUCGGGUCGUAAAACUCUGUUAUUGAAGAAGAACGUGUGUGACAGUAACUGGUCAUGCAGUGACGGUAUUCAAUCAGAAAGUCACGGCUAACUACGUGCCAGCAGCCGCGGUAAUACGUAGGUGGCAAGCGUUGUCCGGAUUUAUUGGGCGUAAAGCGAGUGCAGGCGGUCUUUUAAGUCUGAUGUGAAAGCCUUCGGCUUAACCGAAGAAGGGCAUCGGAAACUGGGAGACUUGAGUGCAGAAGAGGAGAGUGGAACUCCAUGUGUAGCGGUGAAAUGCGUAGAUAUAUGGAAGAACACCAGUGGCGAAGGCGGCUCUCUGGUCUGUAACUGACGCUGAGGCUCGAAAGCGUGGGUAGCAAACAGGAUUAGAUACCCUGGUAGUCCACGCCGUAAAUGAUGAAUACUAAGUGUUGGAGGGUUUCCGCCCUUCAGUGCUGCAGCUAACGCAUUAAGUAUUCCG